rnacentral:rRNA from 1 species
UACGAAGGGGGCUAGCGUUGCUCGGAAUCACUGGGCGUAAAGGGCGCGUAGGCGGCGUUUUAAGUCGGGGGUGAAAGCCUGUGGCUCAACCACAGAAUGGCCUUCGAUACUGGGACGCUUGAGUAUGGUUGAGGUUGGUGGAACUGCGAGUGUAGAGGUGAAAUUCGUAGAUAUUCGCAAGAACACCGGUGGCGAAGGCGGCCAACUGGACCAUUACUGACGCUGAGGCGCGAAAGCGUGGGGAGCAAACAGG